AUCACAGCUGCCCUCCUCUGAGUAAGGACACAAUUCAGCACAGAGCUCUGCCCCACUGCUGGCCAUGUAUGUGUCCUGGUAAAGGCAGAAGGGGAGCUCAGGGGCUGCAUGGGGCUCCGUCAUCAAACAAGUGGCCUGCAAGGGCUGUGAGUCCUCCUUAAAUGCUUCCUCCAGCCCUGACCCUGCUCUGCCAACGAGGAAAGUACUGCCAAAGGGUCAGGUGCAGACAGGAACACCUAUUUUGUCCAGUUACUCCUUUUUAUUAUGAAAGAUUGGAAUUACAGGUGGCGUCUGUGAAAAUGUCUGACACUGCUGUUGUCACUGCUGCUUCCAUUUGCUCUGCAGUCCCUCAGAGGAGGACAGCACACUCCAAAAGAGGAAGAAGACAAUGAGGAGGUGCCCUUCCAAAAUCUCCUUACCAGAACCAAGAGCAACAGCAAAGCUAAAGAUUAACAAGCAGCAGAUGCAGAGAAGAAGGCAGAUGGAGAAUGAAUGUAGCAGGAAGCAAAUCCAAAAUAUCUCUUCAGGGAUCAUUAACAUACAGAAACCUAUUAAAAUUUCAUAGAAAACCCCAAAAAGCAACAACAACCAAAAACCAAAAACAAACUCAAAAAAAACCCAAAAAGAACAAAAAAAACCACAACAAACAAAAAAAUAAAACAAAAACCCCAUUAAAAAUAUGUCUGUGCCAAGGGAAU